rnacentral:rRNA from 1 species
UACGAAGGGGGCGAGCGUUGUUCGGAUUUACUGGGCGUAAAGGGCGCGUAGGCGGCCGAUCAAGUCAGGCGUGAAAGCCCCGGGCUCAACCUGGGAAUGGCGCUUGGGACUGGUUGGCUUGAGUUCGGGAGAGGAGAGUGGAAUUCCCAGUGUAGAGGUGAAAUGCGCAGAUAUCAGGAGGAACACCGGUGGCGAAGGCGGGUCUCUGGGCCGAUACUGACGCUGAGGAGCGAAAGCGUGGGGAGCGAACAGG